rnacentral:rRNA from 1 species
UACGUAGGGUGCAAGCGUUGUCCGGAAUUAUUGGGCGUAAAGAGCUCGUAGGUGGCCUGUCGCGUCGGCUGUGAAAACUCGGGGCUCAACUCCGAGCUUGCAGUCGAUACGGGCAGGCUAGAGUUCGGCAGGGGAGACUGGAAUUCCUGGUGUAGCGGUGAAAUGCGCAGAUAUCAGGAGGAACACCGGUGGCGAAGGCGGGUCUCUGGGCCGAUACUGACACUGAGGAGCGAAAGCGUGGGGAGCGAACGGG